CAUUUAUCAGACCAAAAACCGGCCCCCGUCUUCGGGCGCGUUCGCCUUGGUGACUCUGGAUAACUUUGCGGAUCGCACGGUCUAGCACCGGCGACGGAUCAUUCAAGUGUCUGCCCUAUCAACUUUCGUCGGUACGGUAUUUGCCUACCGAGGUUCUUACGGGUGACGGGGAAUCAGGGUUCGAUUCCGGAGAGGGAGCCUGAGAAACGGCUACCACAUCCAAGGAAGGCAGCAGGCGCGCAAAUUACCCAUUCCCGACGCGGGGAGGUAGUGACGAAAAAUAACAAUGCAGGACUCGUUCGAGGCCCUGUAAUUGGAAUGAGUACACUUUAAAAGCUUUAACGAGUAUCCAUUGGAGGGCAAGUCUGGUGCCAGCAGCCGCGGUAAUUCCAGCUCCAAAAGUAUAUAUUUAAGUUGUUGCGGUUAAAAAGCUCGUAGUUGGAUUUUGGGCGCAGGCGGCCGGUCCGUCGCAAGGCGUGUACUGGACGUCCUGGCCUUCCCUCCGGUUCUCCGCCGGUGCUCUUGACUGAGUGUCGGCGGCGGCCGGAACGUUUACUUUGAAAAAAUUAGAGUGUUCAAAGCAGGCUCUCGAGCCUGGAUAAUGGUGCAUGGAAUAAUGGAAUAGGACCUCGGUUCUAUUUUGUUGGUUUUCGGAGCGCGAGGUAAUGAUUAAGAGGGACA
rnacentral:ncRNA from 1 species